ACAGAGUUCCCCGACACAUUGAAACAGUGCCAACAAUUCGGGCACAGUGUAUCCUGGCGUUUAGAAAAUGGCAGCAAGCUUCAUUCAGAUGCCAGGCACGGGUGGUGGAGACAGGGUGGGGGAGGGAGCGUGGGCGAGGGUUGGGAGAUGUGGGGCAUGGCUGUGCGGUGCGGUGUGCCCCGUUUGCCUCUGUUGGCACUGGCCCAGCGUCUCCCUGCCCGGUACUCUCGUUGUUAUUUUAAUUGCCAUCUUCUCUGCGACAUUCCUUGGCACGAUGUACCAUGGUGUCUGCUUUUCCCUGCCGUUUCCACGUCGCCUCCUUGUGCGGCCUUGGCAGCACCUCUGUUCGACUGACACUCUCCAUUUCCAGAAGGCCUCAAAGCAUCCUGGCCGCCAUUUCGCCUUCAUCGUCCCGACGUUGCACUUCCCUCUUGCCAAUCGUGUCACCCAGAUGGCCUUGUGGUUCUUGGCACUGCUGCCAUUCUAUCUAUGCCUGCCUGCCUGUCUGCCCAUUUUGCCUCUUCCCUAGUCUUUCCAGUCAUCACUCCAGCUUCCAGCAAUUCUUACCCCGCUUUUCAUCUCAAGAUGGCGGUCGAAGCAGGCGAAAUGGCGUCUCAAAGUGCAAGGGGUGCUACAAUGGAUGCCAAUGGCGAGGAUGGAUAUGAUUUUUGUGCCAGUAUCCACUGCCCAACUUGGAGAACAAAAUGGAGACAUCUGGAUACCUCAGUCAAAGAUGGCGGCUUUCCUGGAUGGCAAAUGAGAGUGAGCGGGGAUAGACAGAAAGACCUUCCACGACUUUACAAGAGGAUUCAUCAUGCGGUGGCUUUUGUAUUCAUGCCUUUAUUUCUCUUUUACUCUGCUGAGUUCAACACAGCGAACACAAUUUUCACCUCUGCAAUCGAAGGUGGAAGGAGGCCGUCUCGCCAGCCCUCCUCACCCGUCCCCCGUCUCUCGGCACGCUCACGGAUUGAUCGCCAGCUCCGUCUAGACAUGACGCGAGGUUCACUGCUAUUGUCACGCUGGGAAUGCCACGGUUAACCCGGGCCCGGUCCUCGUCGGGCACACCCGCCCCUCCUCAGGGAAUGGAGAUUUGCCCUCAUUAACGAGUGCAGAGGGGGGCAGGCUGAGUUGCAGAACAAAACAUGGCUGCCCGUUGUACACUGAUUUAGAAAGACAGGGUGUAUGAUGCGUGGCAAUGGCAACUUCUUCUCCUUGCUUGCUUCUCUUCGCCUUCUUAUUCCUCUUCUUUAGCAUUAUUUUUUCCACCAUACCUUGACACAAUUUGAAUGUUUUUAUGACAAACUUAUUACUGUAUCAAAAAAUAUAAAUAUUUAUUUAUUGUGUAAAGCUUCAAUGGCAUUGAUAAACAUGUUGAGGUCCAUCAUAGGGUCUUUUUAUCAUUUGUUUUUAAAAGAAAAAAAAACUUUGUAUAAAACAUCAAUUUCUUUUUGCAAAAGAUAAACAUGAAACACACACACUUCCUAGUGUGAAAUUUAUGCCCUUCCUACACUUCAAAUAUCAGUUUGAUUCAUUUAAUUGCUCCGAUUUUUGACUUACAUCGUACAUUCUUACAUACAACUCUUAAAAAGUGGUGAAAAUAAAUAUAUUAGGACUUGGAAAAAGCAUGCUAGGAAGUUACAUUUGUCAAAAUAUAUCAGCUUUUUUGGAAUAAAUUAUUGCAAAAGUUACGAUCCAUAAUUUAGUUUUAUUUACAGUCCCGUGUUAACUCUAUAACAUUGGCAUGUCCUCCAUCACUUUCCAUUUGGCCUUAAAAAAUAUAUUGAUUUCCUUAUUGCAGCUGAUGUAUUGGAUUGAGAUCGAAUCCUGAAUUCAGCCCACUGGUUCUCAAUUCAACAUGAUUGAGGUGCUGUUUUGCCACUGAUGUUAAAAUACCCUUGUACAUUCAAGCAGGAAUUUGAAAUUUGUUCAGGACACCGGUGAUAACACGCUCCUCUUUACUAAAGACACCGUGGGGUGUUUAAUGUCCACCAACUAAUGGUGGUAGAGGGACACUCGGCUAAGUGUCCAUAUAAGGGAUGUCGCACACAUUGAUACCUCGCUCUGCCUGUGAAAUAUCGGGCUGACAGUCUACAGCUGGGUCAGGCUUCAUACCCAGGCUAGAGAGCUCAGAGGUGAGUGUGUGUGCCUUUGAGCUAUCCUGCCAGCCCACUGACUUAUUGUACAGUGUUGGGAUCAUCACGUUGAAUAUAACUAAAAUCGUACUGCCUCCAUCGUUGUUGGCUGUAGCAGAGUAGGUUGUCACUGGAGCUAUGAGCUUUAACAUAAUGUAACUGUACAGUAAAUUAACAGUAAAAGGGGAUGCUUUGCAGAAAUUGAGGCCUUGUACUUAGAUUAGGAUUCGCACGGUUCAGCCAGUCAGAACGUUUCUUAUAAACUAUGUGGUGGUGGAAGGUCUACUCAGAUACCUCAUAUGCUGUGCACACCUAUAUGUGGUUAAAAUAAAAAUAUAAAAAAUCUCCACUCUCUUAUCUAUUAUCAUGGUAUUUUCUUUGCAGUUUUAAAAAUGCUUUUAAACCUCCGCACCUUUUCUCUUUAUGCCUAAUGAACCAGAUUUGUCUUUUCUUUGGUCUCAGUUAUAUUAUUUUUACGUGAUUUAAUGGACGACUGAACUGGGCAGACGUCUUUUAACCCAAAGCAACAUACGACUUAGAUUCAGGAAUAAAGAAGCAACAAAAGAUGAGAUUUUUGUACAAGUGGCCCCUCCCCCACCCACUCACUUGCCCCAGCCACCACGACCCCUCUUUUGGAUCAGAUUCAGGCAAUAUCCAUCACUUGGGAAAACAAACAUGCCAGGAAAUUAAAAGUGAAACAUUGGCAUUCAGACAACGUUGUGUCUUGGCCAUUCAAAGCCCCACUCUCAACUACACGCCCCCUCACACCCGCUUACUCCAACUCCUAACUCUCACACUCAACCUGAGAACCCCAUGCCCCCCCCUCCCACUUUCCACAUAUUUAUUAAACUCCAUUCAAACCCAUACAAAUGUCUGGAAAUGUGCUGUAUAAUUAAACUGGAACGAUGAUUGGUUCCAGUUAUUAUUUGGUGUGCAAAGUAAAUGAAAAGUCUCGGUGAACCUUCCCUUUGUGACGUUCAAAGUUGUUGGCUAUGUGAUAAUGAAUUGCUCAGCAAAUGUUGGUCUUGUUAACAGGCAAGUGCUCGUGGAAUAUUAAGCCAUAUUUCGUGAUGUUGCACAAAGUGGUUUGCAACGUUUCAUUUUGUGCCUUUCGCUUUCUGAUAUUUCGAUUUGUGACAUUGUCGGUUUCAUGAAAAUGAAUCUUUGUUGAAACUGCUUUCUAGGAAUAAGUGUUUUUGAGUUAUUAAAGAUACUAAAUUUGUGACGUUUCGGUUUGUCUCAAUUUUGCCAUGUGCAGUCGUGACAGAACAUACAUGUGUGUUUUUAAAGAGAAGCACUGUCCAACAACCUUGCAUGUGCGUGUGCAGUUUUAGCUUACUUGGACAUUGUCUUACAGAUGUGCUGCACAGAUUAACAUCUGCUUAUUCUACUUUGUGAGGUUUGGCUUUUUCUUUUAUUCUUUGUGACAUUUACAUCCAAGCAUCAGACGUUUAUCAUUAUAUGAAGGAAAAGCCUUCAUGAAAAUGUAGCAAAUUUUUCUGCAUUUAUGUCAGAAUGGCAGAGAUACAUGUACAGCGAGCUAUAUCUUCGGGCAAUUCUUUGCAACUUCUUGUGAUGUUUAGGGAUCAUGUCCAAAAUAUUGGAGUUUCUGUUUUCGGCAUAAAGCGUUCAGCACUUCGUCCAAAAUUUCAGCUUUGUAUGACGAAGUGUUCCGUUGGUUAAUGGACAGGUUAGAGUGACCAACAUGCAGUGAAGCAAACUUGUCUGAAGUUUACAACCACAUUCAAGAAAGGUAUUUAUUGUGAACAAUUUCAUCAUCUAUACUGUAUAAAACAGGCAUGGAAGGUAAACUUGUUUUUAAGCUCGAAUCGCGUCGAUAUUUAAAUUACUUAUUGGGAGACAAAGUUCGUAUGAAUGCGGCGUCUGGACCUUGGCCCAGGCACCAGCCGCAGUGGGAGAACGUUAACCUGGCUGGCACAGGUAGUCCCUCUGCAAUGAGUUAUUUGCUUCUUGGCCCAGGCACGUCCCGCAUCGGGUGAACGUUAAACCAGAGCACGUGGUCCCUGCAGCAAGGUGUCCGACUAAGGAGAAACAAGAUGCACAUAAAAUGCAUUAAUGUGUCUCAUCCAAAAGCUCCUGUAGACAUAACCGUUUUAUUGGUAGUGCGUUGAAACACGGUGAAAAUCACAAAGGUAAGUGGCUCUGUCACAGCUUUUGCACACUAAAGUUCAAUACAGGUGCAGCAGUAACAAUCUCGUGUUUCAGGAGAAAUGGCUCACCUUGACAAGGGGGGAGGGGAAGAAUGUGUUGUGCACUGUUUAGUUUAAGUAUAUCUAUGU
ensembl:lincRNA